GACGAACGCUGGCGGCGUGCUUAACACAUGCAAGUCGAACGGAAAGGCCCUGCUUUUGUGGGGUGCUCGAGUGGCGAACGGGUGAGUAACACGUGAGUAACCUGCCCUUGACUUUGGGAUAACUUCAGGAAACUGGGGCUAAUACCGGAUCGGAGCUCCUGCUGCAUGGUGGGGGUGGGAAAGUUUCGGCGGUUGGGGAUGGACUCGCGGCUUAUCAGCUUGUUGGUGGGGGAGUGGCUUACCAAGGCUUUGACGGGUAGCCGGCCUGUGAGGGUGACCGGCCACAUUGGGACUGAGAGACGGACCAGUCUCGUACGGGAGGCAGCAGUGGGGAAUAUUGCACAAUGGGCGCAAGCCUGAUGCAGCAACGCCGCGUGUGUGAUGACGGCCUUCGGGUUGUAAACCGCUUUCGCCUGUGACGAAGCGUGAGUGACGGUAAUGGGUAAAGAAGCACCGGCUAACUACGUG
rnacentral:rRNA from 1 species